rnacentral:tRNA from 1 species
GGUAAAUUGGCCGAGAGAUAGGCGGCGGGUUGUAGCCCCGACGACGAGGGUUAGAGCCCCUCAGUUACCA